rnacentral:snRNA from 1 species
UAGUGAUUUCAGCUCUUUUAGUAUUUGUCUAGCAGGCUUUGGUCCGUGCGGCUGGAGCCUCU